UCGGGAAUUUUGCACAAUGGCCGAAAGGCUGAUGCAGCAACGCCGCGUGAGCGAAGAAGGCCUUCGGGUUGUAAAGCUCUGUUGCCUGCGAAGAAGGGCCCCGUCAGGAAAUGGGCGGGGUUUGACGGUAGCAGGCGAGGAAGCCCCGGCAAACUACGUGCCAGCAGCCGCGGUAAUACGUAGGGGGCGAGCGUUGUCCGGAAUUACUGGGCGUAAAGGGCGUGUAGGCGGCCUGUUAAGUCAGGGGUGAAAGACCGGGGCUCAACCCCGGGGGUGCCUCUGAAACUGGCGGGCUUGAGUGCUCUAGAGGGCAGUGGAAUUCCCGGUGUAGCAGUGAAAUGCGUAGAGAUCGGGAGGAACACCAGUGGCGAAGGCGGCUGCCUGGGGAGUCACUGACGCUGAGGCGCGAAAGCUAGGGGAGCAAACAGG
rnacentral:rRNA from 1 species